UGAUUGAGUGAUAGAUUGUAUGACAACU
rnacentral:piRNA from 1 species